rnacentral:rRNA from 1 species
UACAGAGGUCUCAAGCGUUGUUCGGAUUCAUUGGGCGUAAAGGGUGCGUAGGUGGCGCCGUAAGUCGGGUGUGAAAUUUCGGAGCUUAACUCCGAAACUGCAUUCGAUACUGCGGUGCUUGAGGACUGGAGAGGAGACUGGAAUUCAUGGUGUAGCAGUGAAAUGCGUAGAGAUCAUGAGGAAGACCAGUGGCGAAGGCGGGUCUCUGGACAGUUCCUGACACUGAGGCACGAAGGCCAGGGGAGCAAACGGGAUUAGAACGUACCUAGUAGUCCAA